rnacentral:lncRNA from 1 species
AGCUUAACUGCAUGUCCUCCCAGUUGAUCACCUGUAAUGUGCUUAUAAACUCCAGAUUUAUAAUGUGCGAAAUCCUGUAAAAUGGUAAAUAAUUAGAGUCAAAUAAUCCUGCCCAAAGCUGUUUUCAUGCAAUGUCCAAGUAAUAAUUUGUAAAAUGUGCAAGUCACUGAUUUCUAAUAAUGUGCAACUUGCUUUUAGCAUUAAGGAAAACUGUCAGAAGACAUUAAAAGGACAGACUCAUAGCUCAGAAGUCAAACCUUGAUGAAUUAUAAUCGAAGAAUGUAGCAGGGUGGGAACAGGCACAGAUAUGAACUUGUAAACUCUCUGUUUUUUCUUAAAUUUUAGAAACAUUUUAUUGAUACUUCAAGGGGUGUUUGUUUAUACUAAAAGUUUUUCAGCAAUCAUAAGCAGCCCAAGUGAGACUUACUAUAUGGAAUUAUGUCCCAGAUAUAAACUUGAAUUCAUAUUUUAUAAGUGCAUAUUUUACCUCAUAAACAGUGAAAGCAACCUCUACUGGUCCAUUUUUAUAAAGCUCUGCCAUGAUAUCAUAGGGAUCUGAUCUGAUUCUAUAAGCAUUGACGCUGUAAUGCUUUGACUGCCUCCAGAACUGGUUCUUAUCGACACACUUUCUUACACACCUUGGAGUAGG